UACGUAGGGGGCAAGCGUUGUUCGGAUUUACUGGGCGUAAAGGGCGCGUAGGCGGCAUGACAAGUCACUUGUGAAAUCUCUGGGCUUAACCCAGAACGGCCAAGUGAUACUGUCGCGCUAGAGUGCGGAAGGGGCAAUCGGAAUUCUCGGUGUAGUGGUGAAAUGCGUAGAUAUCGAGAGGAACACCUGAGGUGAAGACGGGUUGCUGGGCCGACACUGACGCUGAGUGCGCGAAAGCCAGGGGAGCAAACGGG
rnacentral:rRNA from 1 species